UGUGUGUGAGAGAGGGACGGGAACAGAGAGAAAAAAAGAGAAGGAUAGAAUCGGUAAUAAGAAGAAAAAAAAAGGGUGAAGUGAAUUAUUCAUAACAUCUAUGUUUGUGGAAACAUCUGUCUGAGGCAACGGUUUGUCAAAUUCACGGCUGGCCUGUUUUUCAAAGUCUAUAUUAGUUUCUCGGCUGAGCGGUUCCAAAUGACUGAUUGAUAGCGAUAUCAGGCGAUCAUGAUAACCUCAUUCAUGACCUCAAGCAGUUAUCAGAAACUACAACACUAAACAUAUCAAACCCCACUAAAGUUUCCUCAUCCCCAUGCCUGUCUCUCCUGUCCCUUUUAGCUGAGAGACAUGCUGGUGUGCCGUGCGUUACAGCCUCCAUGGAUGACAUCCGAUUUGAAGAGACAGUUUGGGUGGGUCAAGUCAUCAACAUCAAAGCCAGAGUAAACAGAGCAUUCAACACCAGUAUGGAGGUUGGGAUCUGCGUCUCUGUGCAGGAUGUGCAGAGUGGGGUCUUAAAGCGGGUGUGUGUGGCCUUCUCCACCUUCGUGGGGAAGCCAGUGGGAGGAAGGAAGGUGAGUGAGUAAGCGAGUGAGUGAGUGAGUGAGUGGGCAUUGCACUUUACAGAGCUCCGCUUCCUGCUUCUCCCUGCCUCUAUCAUAGUGAUGCCACCAUAUAAGUCUAUUAGCAACUGUUUCCCAUCCACUUUUAAGUGCCCACAUGCAUAGUUCAUUAGUCAGCUUGUGGAACAGAGCACCAGCAAUUAUGUCCAUCCACUGUAAUGUAA